CAGUCGCCGCGGUAAUGCGGAGGGAGCUAGCGUUGUUCGGAAUCACUGGGCGUAAAGCGCACGUAGGCGGCUAUUCAAGUCAGGGGUGAAAGCCCGGGGCUCAACCCCGGAACUGCCUUUGAAACUAGAUAGCUUGAAUCUUGGAGAGGCGAGUGGAAUUCCGAGUGUAGAGGUGAAAUUCGUAGAUAUUCGGAAGAACACCAGUGGCGAAGGCGACUCGCUGGACAAGUAUUGACGCUGAGGUGCGAAAGCGUGGGGAGCAAACAGGAUUAGAUACCCCAGUAGUCCCUGUCUCUUAUAC
rnacentral:rRNA from 1 species